rnacentral:rRNA from 1 species
GGGCCCGCACAAGCGGUGGAGCAUGUGGUUUAAUUCGAUGCAACGCGAAGAACCUUACCAGGUCUUGACAUCCAGGGGAUUCCUUGGAAACAAGGGAGUGCCAUUCAGGAACCCUGAGACAGGUGGUGCAUGGUUGUCGUCAGCUCGUGUCGUGAGAUGUUGGGUUAAGUCCCGCAACGAGCGCAACCCUUGCUAUUAGUUGCUAACAGGUAGAGCUGAGCACUCUAAUGGGACUGCCUGUGACAAGCAGGAGGAAGGUGGGGAUGACGUCAAAUCAUCAUGCCCUUUAUGAUCUGGGCUACACACGUGCUACAAUGGGUGGUACAGAGAGCAGCGAGACAGUGAUGUGGAGCGAAUCUCAAAAAGCCAUUCUCAGUUCGGAUUGUAGUCUGCAACUCGACUACAUGAAGGAGGAAUCGCUAGUAAUCGCGAAUCAGCAUGUCGCGGUGAAUACGUUCCCGGGCCUU